rnacentral:rRNA from 1 species
CUAGUAACGGCGAGUGAAGCGGGAAGAGCUCAAAUUUGAAAUCUGGUAGCCUUCGGUUGCCCGAGUUGUAAUCUAGAGAAGUGUUUUCCGCGUUGGCCCAUGUACAAGUCCCUUGGAACAGGGCGUCAUAGAGGGUGAGAAUCCCGUCCUUGACAUGGACCCCCAAUGCUUUGUGAUACACUUUCAACGAGUCGAGUUGUUUGGGAAUGCAGCUCAAAAUGGGUGGUGAAUUCCAUCUAAAGCUAAAUAUUGGCGAGAGACCGAUAGCGAACAAGUACCGUGAGGGAAAGAUGAAAAGCACUUUGGAAAGAGAGUUAAACAGUACGUGAAAUUGUUGAAAGGGAAACGAUUGAAGUCAGUCAUGCUCUUUGGAUUAAGCCGUUCUGCGGUGUAUUUCAUUGAGCGGGGUCAACAUCAGUUUUGAUCGCUGGAAAAGGGCAGGAGGAAGGUAGCACUCUCGGGUGAACUUAUAGCCUCUUGUCGUAUACAGUGAUUGGGACUGAGGAACGCAGCAUGCCUUUUGGCCGGGAUUCGUCCACGUACAUGCUUAGGAUGUUGACAUAAUGGCUUUAAACGACCCGUCUUGAAACACGGACC